UUCCUCAGUCCCUGGUUUGGGGACCAGCUUUGUGACUUGUUUUGGCCAACGAAGUGCAGUCUGAUGGUGUGCCCUUUCUGAGCUUAGACCUCAAGAGGCUGUGCAUGUUUCCACUUGCUUUUUGAAACCUGCUACGGUCACCAUAAAGUUGGGCUGGCCUGCUGGCCCCAUCAGCCACCCUUGCUUAAGCCCACUUAGAUCAGCGUGCCCACCUGCUUGCAAACUGAUCACGGACACAGAAACAUCUUUCACAGAGACCAACUGAGCCCAGCCCAGUUGAUCUCUUCAAGUCUAAUUAAUCCACCAAAAUGAAGAAGGGAAUCGAAAUUGGACCAAACCAAAAUAGUGCCACUCUCUGGUCUGGGCAUUCCUUUCUUCCUUCUGGAAUACCAUUUGCUCCUGGAACACUGGAUUGCUAGAAGGCCUGCCAGUCACAACAGAUCACCCGCACUUGGUGGCAUAAAACAAUCUUUUCAUUCAGCUCAUGGAUUGGAUUCUCAUUGGAACUUCACUGAACACAUUCAACAAGCUCUCCAACUGUUGGGCGACUUAUUAAGUUUCCUGGAGGCUCAGACCACUGCUGCUUCCUCUUUUCCUUCCCAAAGCAUUUGGAUAAACCAUCAGAAACUCUCUGAGUCUAUGGCUCUAAUGAAUCAACUCUCUGUGCCCAUGUGUCAGUAUUGUAGAACAGAAUGAACAACAGCCCACUGAGACAUGGAUUUCUCACCAGUCUGAAGGUGACAAACUUAAUGCUCAGAGAAGCAAAUUGUAUUGCCCAGAACACACUGCCACCAAGCAGUUGACCCAGACCUUUUACUCAUACAAUAAACAUACAAGGCUAUGUAUUAAGCUAUGGACAGGAAAUGAAGAUGAAGGUGAGUCGGUUCAGGUCUACAGGAAGUUCAUGGUCUAGGUGAGGAAGACAGGUCAUUUUGCAACAAUGUGAUAAGUGUGCUGAUAGAGCCAUCCAGAGGGCGUUAGGGUGCCAUCAAGAGGCACCUACUGGGCAGCGUGAUGAAGACUUCCUGGAAGAGGUGAUAUUUGAACCAAGUGUCAAGGAGAAUUAG